rnacentral:rRNA from 1 species
UACGGAGGGUGCGAGCGUUGUCCGGAAUCACUGGGCGUAAAGGGCGCGUAGGCGGCGCGGGAAGUCAUCGGUGAAAGUUCAGGGCUCAACUCUGAAUCGGCCGGUGAUACUCUCGUGCUCGAGCACUGUAGAGGCAGGUGGAAUUCCGGGUGUAGCGGUGGAAUGCGUAGAGAUCCGGAAGAACACCGGUGGCGAAGGCGGCCUGCGUGGGCAGUGAGCUGACGCUGAUGCGCGACAGCGUGGGGAGCAAACAGG